rnacentral:lncRNA from 1 species
CUCACAAUGCCUCUAGCCAGUGGGUUCUAGAAUCCACAUCCUUUUUCCUAACACACUGCCUCCAGACCUACAUAGCUGUGCCUGCCUCAGAGCAAGGAAAGCAGAGCUCAUCAUCUGGGUGAGGAAGGCAGGGAGUGAAUGAGUCCCCUUUCCCUCCCAAGUGUUGCCUCAGCAGGUGCAGAUUUGCCCUGCCAGGAAAGAAGAGGGGAAUGCUGUGGAGAGAGAGGAAACAGUCACCGUCCCUCCCAAACCCACUGAGGCCGGGCCGCCCAGAUGGGCCUGCAGACCUGGAGGAGCUUCUCAAGCCAAAAAGGACCAGUAAAGAGUCUGAGGCCUUGAGCCCAGCGCCCCAACCUGGCCUGGCCUGGGUCUCUCUGUCUUGGCCUGGCCCCUGGCAGCAAGUGGCCCCUUGUGACCUGUUCCUGCCAGCUCCACUGAGGGAUCUGCCACCAAUCAAGCGUUCAUUUAUCCAACAAGUGUCUGUGGCUGGCAACGCUGGUAAAGAGAAGACUCUUCAAAGUUUUUCAAACCAUGGUUAUGUCAAGACAACUCACCAGGAUAGAAUAAAAUUGGGACAAUACGUUGAAGAAUUACAUGAAAAGUCUCUGAAGCUAG